GAUGAACGCUGGCGGCGUGCUUAACACAUGCAAGUCGAACGAUGAAGCCCAGCUUGCUGGGUGGAUUAGUGGCGAACGGGUGAGUAACACGUGAGUAACCUGCCCUUGACUCUGGGAUAAGCCUGGGAAACUGGGUCUAAUACUGGAUAUGACUUCUCAUCGCAUGGUGGGGGGUGGAAAGAUUUAUUGGUCUUGGAUGGACUCGCGGCCUAUCAGCUUGUUGGUGAGGUAAUGGCUCACCAAGGCGACGACGGGUAGCCGGCCUGAGAGGGGGACCGGGGAGAGGGGGGCGGAGAGACGGCCCAGAGCCCGCCGGGAGGCAGCAGGGGGGAAGCGUGCACAAGGGGGGGAAGCGGGAGGCAGCAAAGCGGGGGGCGGGAGGACGGCUUUCGGGGUGUAAACCGCUUGAGCCGGGGACGAAGCGGGAGUGACGGUAAUGGGUAAAGAAGCACCGGCGAACUACGUG
rnacentral:rRNA from 1 species